AAAGUCGUAACAAGGUUUCCGUAGGUGAACCUGCGGAAGGAUCAUUAAUGUAACCGGACCUUACGGGUGCCGUAAGACGCAUUCGUUUGGAAAGGGAGAUAUCAUACACCCUGUGUUUAUUUACCUUUGUUGCUUUGGCGGGCCGUCCUUUUAGGCGUCGGCCCCCGGCUGAUCGCGCCCGCCAGAGGACCCAAACUCUUUUAUCAGUGAUGUCUGAGUACUAUAUAAUAGUUAAAAC
rnacentral:misc_RNA from 1 species